rnacentral:rRNA from 1 species
GACGAACGCUGGCGGCGUGCCUAAUACAUGCAAGUCGAACGCUUCUUUUUCCACCGGAGCUUGCUCCACCGGAAAAAGAGGAGUGGCGAACGGGUGAGUAACACGUGGGUAACCUGCCCAUCAGAAGGGGAUAACACUUGGAAACAGGUGCUAAUACCGUGUAACAAUCGAAACCGCAUGGUUUUGAUUUGAAAGGCGCUUUCGGGUGUCGCUGAUGGAUGGACCCGCGGUGCAUUAGCUAGUUGGUGAGGUAACAGCUCACCAAGGCCACGAUGCAUAGCCGACCUGAGAGGGUGAUCGGCCACAUUGGGGCUGAGACACGGCCCAAACUCCUACGGGAGGCAGCAGUAGGGAAUCUUCGGCAAUGGACGGAAGUCUGACCGAGCAACGCCGCGUGAGUGAAGAAGGUUUUCGGAUCGUAAAACUCUGUUGCUAGAGAAGAACAAGGAUGAGGGUAACUGUUCAUCCCUUGACGGUAUCUAACCAGAAAGCCACGGCUAACUACGUGCCAGCAGCCGCCGUAA